rnacentral:rRNA from 1 species
CAUUAAGUUGGGCACUCUAGAGAGACUGCCAGGGAUAACCUGGAGGAAGGUGGGGAUGACGUCAAAUCAUCAUGCCCCUUAUGCUUAGGGCUACACACGGGCUACAAUGGGUAGUACAGAGGGUUGCCAAGCCGUAAGGUGGAGCUAAUCCCUUAAAGCUACUCUCAGUUCGGAUUGUAGGCUGAAACUCGCCUACAUGAAGCUGGAGUUACUAGUAAUCGCAGAUCAGAAUGCUGCGGUGAAUGCGUUCCCGGGUCUUGUACACACCGCCCGUCACACCACGGGAGUUGGAGACGCCCGAAGCCGAUUA